UACGAAGGGGGCUAGCGUUGUUCGGAAUUACUGGGCGUAAAGCGUGCGCAGGCGGCUUCUCAAGUCAGGGGUGAAAGCCCAGAGCUCAACUCUGGAAUUGCCUUUGAGACUGAGUGGCUUGAGUACGAGAGAGGUGAGUGGAAUUCCCAGUGUAGAGGUGAAAUUCGUAGAUAUUGGGAAGAACACCGGUGGCGAAGGCGGCUACACUGGCUCGGUAACUGACGCUCAUGCACGACAGCGUGGGGAUCAAACAGG
rnacentral:rRNA from 1 species